CGGAAACGGAGGUGUACCAACUCUUCAGUUAAGAAGGGUAUCUCUUGUGAAGCCUCUUUGUGGUACCAGUAGGCAUUGUUUGGUUCUCUAUAGUAAACGCCAUCUCUUGAGCUUGUGAGAAAAUGUUACCUUCGGAUCAGUCGUCAACGGUUUUCCAUUAGUCGUACUGAAAGUUUGAACACAUUAAUGGCGUCGUUUGGUUGACGCCUUGAUAACGUCUUUCCAAAAAUGGUGAAUAAAUUGUGCUUCAAAAAAUUGCUCAGUUUGCCGGGCACACUGUCUACCACAUGUUCUAUCAGAGAGUAUUUGAGCAUCAAAGGUUGCUUGGUUUGAAAUUGGUUCCCAAGUUAAAACUUGCUCACAUUUGGCCAUCAACCUGGUAGAGAAUGACGGUAAGCUUGGCCACACAGCUGUACUCAAACAUAUGGCUCAUGGCUUUAAAAUUUUUAAGAGAAGACAAAAAAACAGCGCAUUUAUUCAAUGGUACCUUAUUAAAUCUUCCAAAUUUCUAAAUCUAACUCAUUAUUUUAUUAGGAUCAGAAGCUACAGAAAAGCUUACAAAGCUUAUUAAUGACACAUUUGACAUUAUGAAUGGACGACACAAGGGUGAGUCAAUUAAUGGGAACAACUGGAAUAAUUUGAAGUCGAAAUGGAGGGAAAGGUAACAAAGGGGAAAAAAUCUGUACUCGAAGACAUGCUAAAAAUAAUAGAGUUAACUGAGGAGUGCCAUCGCAAUCCUGGAAAACGUCGAAUAAUGGCCGCAUUUGCGUCAGAUACGACUCUAGAUGGCUGGCGCUUGUCUAUCCGUAGCACCAUUGACUUGACAGAAGAGUUAUUGAAUCCAAAAACCCUUUAGAAAAUACGAUUUCGUACUGACAGCAAAAUGAAACCAAGACGCCUUAGAGAUGACUUUUGGGCGCAUACGUUCAGUCGAUACACAUCCAACGGCUACAAGUUUUCUACAUAUUAUCAGGAUGAUGUCAUUGUACACACCCGCGAAGAUACUAUUGCGGAACGCAAAUGUAGAAAAUGAUGACCAUAUUAGGGUGCUCGUCGAUUUUAAGGAGUGUCUCAUUAAAAAAUUCCGCGACAAUGCUAAGGCUGCUGCUGAUUUAAGGGUAGCAAUGAAAGAUGAUUUAAUGGAAGAGCUGGGAAAGCGUUACGUAAACGAGUUGCCCUUGUCCAAAGAAGAUAGAAUCGGUAACUUUCUCAUAUACGAUGUAGCAGGUUACAUGGUGAAAACGAGAGAAAAACCUUUUCGAGUGUGAGGCAUGCAGACAGACUGUAAUUACCAAAGAAGCAGAUCUACCAAGUGAUUUUGACGCAGAUGCAUACACGAGAGCUCGAACCAAAGGGUGGACUGGUGUUUGUCACCCUGUCAAUGUACCAAACUUUGUGCGCAAUUGAAAAAGUUGUCUCAAACCACUUUAAGUCACUUAAUCAUAUUUAUAUCACUGAUACAUUCCAAGAGUGUAUAGCAAAAGUUAAAUUAACCAAUGUACUGCCCCUUUUUUGUGAUACUCAUCGCCAUUGUAAUAUGGGAACUUUAAUAAUGGAGUAUGUAAAAGUGAGAUAUUAUUUUGAAUCUAAACGUUUGAAAGAUGUUUUAUUGUCCAAAGAACAAACAACAGUCCAGGCGAGUUUCAAACUGGCCAAAAAUGCCCAUACAAGAAAUGUAAUACAAAGUAAUACUUAAACUA